CCUACGGGGGACAGCAGUGAGGAAUAUUGGUCAAUGGGCGCGAGCCUGAUCCAGCGACGCAGCGUGAAGGAUGACUGCCCUACGGGUUGUAAACUUUUUUUAUAAAGGAAUAAAGUGAGGCACGUGUGCCUUUUUGUAUGUACUUUAUGAAUAAGGAUCGGCUAACUCCGUGCCAGCAGCCGCGGUAAUACGGAGGAUCCGAGCGUUGUCCGGAUUUAUUGGGUUUAAAGGGAGCGUAGAUGGGUUGUUAAGUCAGUUGUGAAAGUCUGGGGCUCAACCGUAAGAUUGCUAUUGAUACUGGAAGGCUGGAGUACAGUAGAGGUAAGCGGAAUUCGUGGUGUAGCGGUGAAAUGCGUAGAUAUCAGGAAGAACACCGAUUGCGAAGGCAGCUUACUGAACUGCCACUGACGUUGAGGCUCGAAAGUGUGGGUAGCAAACAGGAUUAGAUACCCUUGUAGUC
rnacentral:rRNA from 1 species